UGGGGAAUAUUGGACAAUGGGCGAAAGCCUGAUCCAGCGACGCCGCGUGAGUGAUGAAGGCCUUCGGGUUGUAAAGCUCUGUUGAGGGAGAAGAAAACAGUUAGAACUAACAUGUCUAGCUCUUGACGGUAUCCCUUUAGAAAGCACCGGCUAACUCUGUGCCAGCAGCCGCGGUAAGACAGAGGGUGCAAACGUUGCUCGGAAUGACUGGGCGUAAAGCGCGUGUAGGCGGGCUUGUAAGUUGGACGUGAAAGCCCUGGGCUCAACCCAGGAAUUGCAUCCAAAACUACAAGUCUAGAGUGAUGGAGAGGGUAGCAGAAUUCCUGGUGUAGAGGUGAAAUUCGUAGAUAUUCGGAAGAACACCAGUGGCGAAGGCGACUUACUGGACACAUAUUGACGCUGAGGUGCGAAAGCGUGGGGAGCAAA
rnacentral:rRNA from 1 species